rnacentral:rRNA from 1 species
CCUACGGGAGGCAGCAGUGAGGAAUAUUGGUCAAUGGGCGAGAGCCUGAACCAGCCAAGUCGCGUGAGGGAGUACUGCCCUAUGGGUUGUAAACCUCUUUUGUCGGGGAGCAAAAGCCGGACGUGUCCGGCUGUGAGAGUACCCGAAGAAAAAGCAUCGGCUAACUCCGUGCCAGCAGCCGCGUUAAUACGGAGGAUGCGAGCGUUAUCCGGAUUUAUUGGGUUUAAAGGUUGCGCAGGCGGAUUUUUAAGUCAGCGGUAAAAUCGUGGGGCUCAACCCCAUCCAGCCGUUGAAACUGGGGAUCUAGAGUGUGCGAGAGGUAUGCGGAAUGCGUGGUGUAGCGGUGAAAUGCAUAGAUAUCACGCAGAACCCCGAUUGCGAAGGCAGCAUACCGGUGCACAACUGACGCUCAGGCACGAAAGCGUGGGUAUCGAACAGGAUUAGAUACCCCAGUAGUC